GACGAACGCUGGCGGCGUGCCUAAUACAUGCCAGUAGAACGCUGAAGAGAGGAGCUUGCUCUUCUUGGAUGAGUUGCGAACGGGUGAGUAACGCGUAGGUAACCUGCCUUGUAGCGGGGGAUAACUAUUGGAAACGAUAGCUAAUACCGCAUAACAAUGGAUGACACAUGUCAUUUAUUUGAAAGGGGCAAUUGUUCCACUACAAGAUGGACCUGCGUUGUAUUAGCUAGUAGGUGAGGUAAUGGCUCACCUAGGCGACGAUACAUAGCCGACCUGAGAGGGUGAUCGGCCACACUGGGACUGAGACACGGCCCAGACUCCUACGGGAGGCAGCAGUAGGGAAUCUUCGGCAAUGGGGGCAACCCUGACCGAGCAACGCCGCGUGAGUGAAGAAGGUUUUCGGAUCGUAAAGCUCUGUUGUAAGUCAAGAACGGGUGUGAGAGUGGAAAGUUCACACUGUGACGGUAGCUUACCAGAAAGGGACGGCUAACUACGUG
rnacentral:rRNA from 1 species